AGAAUGAUUCGGGGGAAAAGGCACAUGGCGGACCAGAUUCUUCCGAUGAGGCAGCCCAAAAUGGCUCCAUUCCACGUGGUGCCCAGAAUGGUCUAGCAAUUAUGCCAACCCCUGCAGCUUUUACAUCUGGUGUUACUGGUCCCACCACAAAUUUAAAUAUAGGGAUGGAUUACUGGGGUACACCAAUCCCUUCGACAAACCCUCCUAUCCCUGCAAAUGCAGUUACUGGG
rnacentral:misc_RNA from 1 species